AUACGGAGGAUGCAAGCGUUAUCCGGAUUUAUUGGGUUUAAAGGGUGCGUAGGCUGUGGGGAAAGUCAGGGGUGAAAGCCCGGCGCUUAACGCCGGAACUGCCUUUGAUACUUCUCCGCUGGAAUACGGAUGCCGUGGGAGGAAUGAGUAGUGUAGCGGUGAAAUGCAUAGAUAUUACUCAGAACGCCGAUUGCGAAGGCAUCUCACGAAUCCGUCAUUGACGCUGAGGCACGAAAGCGUGGGGAUCAAACAGGAUUAGAUACCCUGGUAGUCCACGCAGUAAACGAUGAUAACUAACCGUCGGCGAUACACAGUCGGUGGCCAAGCGAAAGCGAUAAGUUAUCCACCUGGGGAGUACGUUCGCAAGAAUGAAACUCAAAUGAAUUGGCGGGG
rnacentral:rRNA from 1 species